rnacentral:lncRNA from 1 species
CACAUCAGGAAGACGCACGCAUGGUGAGGCUCCUUUUUAUUCCAACAUAAUUUUACACCGAUCCAUACCGCCCCAAAUCUAUGCAGCCUGCAUGUCUUCAUCUACAAUGCAUUCUCCGAGAUAAACCUUGACGCUCCGAGGUGAACCACAGCUGCCUUCUGCUAUAAUCGCUCUGUCGUUCGCAGCCAUGUGCUGUAUUAUUUUGUAGAUCAUCUCAAUCUGAGCGAGCAAGUGUACAGCAUGUGUUAGUUCAAAGAGCAACUGGUUUAUGCUGAUGAAAAUCUGUGAAACUUACAUCUUCAGGGCAAUGACAGCGAUCUGCGAUUUCAUCUAGGGUCAAUGGCUCAGCAGGGUCCUUGCAGCUGGGAGACAACAAAUACAUAAAUCAGGAGGAAUCCAGACAUUCAGGAAUCAAUCAAUUGGGGGAGUAAAAUGCAGAUAUUUGUAAACAAACUUAAGUGAUGUCCUUUAAUGUGCAAAUUUUGUCCUUGCUUGUGCUGAUGAAAGUUGAGUUCAUGUGCAUUGGAAAUUGGGAACAAAGAAAAAUGUUUCAUGAGUAAGGAAAUGUUGAGUUAUAUUGAAAUACAAGACACAUGUUUCUAUUUGUUAGAAUAUUGAUUGUUUUCUACUCAAGGAUGUGUGACUGCUAAAAAAGCAGGCGUCUAUCUGCAGUUUUGCAGCCCCAAGAGGACUAUUAAUAAGCCAACAAAAUAUUCUUUUUUCAAAUAUAUACCAUGCCAAACUUCUAAAAGGCUUUCAAUGGAAAUCUCUAGGAGAAAGGGGCAUUAUCACAACUGUGAGGUGGGGUGCACUUCUAGUGAUCCAAGUAAAGCAUCAUAACUAGUAAUAUGACCAAAAAAUACUACACACAACCAAUCACUUCAUAGAGAAACAAUAAC